UGGAGAUACUAUUAGACUUGAGACCGGGAGAGGUUAGAGGUACUCCCAGGGUAGAGGUGAAAUUCUGUAAUCCUGGGAGGACCGCCUGUUGCGAAGGCGUCUAACUGGAACGGUUCUGACGGUGAGGGACGAAAGUUAGGGGCGCGAACCGGAUUAGAUACCCGGGUAGUCCUAACUGUAAACGAUGCGGACUUGGUGUUGGGGUGGCUUUGAGCUGCUUCAGUGCCGAAGGGAAGCUGUUAAGUCCGCCGCCUGGGAAGUACGGUCGCAAGACUGAAACUUAAGGAAUUGGCGGGGGAGCACCACAACGCGUGGAGCCUGCCGGGUUUAAUUGGAUUCAACGCCGGACAUCUCACCAGAGGCGACAGCUGUAUGAUAGCCAGGUUGAUGACUUUGCUUGACUAGCUGAGUAGAGGUGCAUGG
rnacentral:rRNA from 1 species